UGAGGAAUAUUGGUCAAUGGGCGGAAGCCUGAACCAGCCAUGCCGCGUGCAGGACGACGGCCCUACGGGUUGUAAACUGCUUUUCCGGGGGAAGAAUAAGGGCGACGCGUCGCCCGAUGCCGGUACCCCGGGAAUAAGGAUCGGCUAACUCCGUGCCAGCAGCCGCGGUAAUACGGAGGAUCCGAGUGUUAUCCGGAUUUACUGGGUUUAAAGGGUGCGUAGGCGGGCCCCUCAGUCAGGGGUGAAAGUCGGCGGCUCAACCGUAGGAUUGCCGUUGAUACUGGGGGCCUUGGAUUCGGUCGAGGCGGGCGGAAUGCGUGGUGUAGCGGUGAAAUGCUUAGAUAUCACGCAGAACGCCGAUUGCGAAGGCAGCUCGCCGGGCCGAAAUCGACGCUGAGGCGCGAAAGCGUGGGGAUCGAACA
rnacentral:rRNA from 1 species